AUUGAACGCUGGCGGCAGGCCUAACACAUGCAAGUCGAACGAGUGGCGGACGGGUGAGUAAUGUAUGGGGAACUGCCCGAUGGAGGGGGAUAACUACUGGAAACGGUAGCUAAUACCGCAUACCAUCAGAUGUACCCAUAUUGGAUUAGCUAGUUGGUGGGGUAACGGCUCACCAAGGAGACGAUCCCUAGCUGGUCUGAGAGGAUGACCAUCCACACUGGGACUGAGACACGGUCCAGAUUCCUACGGGAGGCAGCAGGGGGGAAUAUUGCACAAUGGGCGCAAGCCUGAUGCAGCCAUGCCGCGUGUAUGAAGAAGGCCUUCGGGUUGUAAAGCACUUGCAGCGGUGAGGCGUUACCCGCAGAAGAAGCACCGGCUAACUCCGUGCCAGCAGCCGCGGUAAUUC
rnacentral:rRNA from 1 species